AAGGCGGAACCGAAAAGCCUCACGAGUAGGAA
rnacentral:ncRNA from 1 species